rnacentral:rRNA from 1 species
GAGACCUGUACCUACAAUUGCUAACGACCUCAUGAGGGAUUGAGCACAUUGUAGGGACUGCCUUGGAAACAAGGAGGAAGGUGCAGGCUACGGUAGGUCUGUAUGCUCCGAAUCCUCUGGGCUACACGCGCGCAACAAUGGUGAGGACACUGGGAUGCAACUCCGAGAGGAGAAGCCAAGCCUCGAAACCUCAUCCUAGUUCAAAUUGAGGGCUGUAACUCGCCCUCAUGACGCUGGAAUCCCUAGUAAUCGGAAUUCAACACGUUCCGGUGAAUAU